rnacentral:rRNA from 1 species
UACGUAGGGGGCGAGCGUUGUCCGGAUUUAUUGGGCGUAAAGAGCGUGUAGGCGGUUCGGUAAGUCUGUCGUGAAAUCCUGAGGCUCAACCUCGGGCGUGCGAUGGAUACUGCCGGGCUAGAGGAUGGUAGAGGCGAGUGGAAUUCCCGGUGUAGCGGUGAAAUGCGCAGAUAUCGGGAGGAACACCAGUAGCGAAGGCGACUACCUGGCCUGUUCUUGACGCUGAGGCGCGAAAGCUAGGGGAGCAAACGGGG